rnacentral:rRNA from 1 species
UACGUAGGCAGCAAGCGUUGUUCGGAGUUACUGGCGUAAAGGGUGCGUAGGCGGUCCUAUAAGUAUGGUGUGAAAUCUCCCGGCUUAACUGGGAGGGUGCGCUAUAGACUGUGGGGACUAGAGUGUGGGGAGAGGAAAGUGGAAUUCCUGGUGUAGCGGUGAAAAUGCGUAGAUAUCAGGAGGAACACCGGUGGUGUAAAACGGCUUUUUCUGGGACCAUAAACUGACGCUGAGGCACGAAAAGCGUGGGUAGCAAACAGG